rnacentral:rRNA from 1 species
GGGGGGGGGGGGGGGGGGGGCGGGGGGGUGGGGGGGGGGGGGGGGGGGGGGGGUUGCUCCUGGGUUCAGGGGCGGACGGGUGGGGGAUGGCUAGGAAUCUGGCGGGUGGUGGGGGAUAACGUCCGGACACGGGGGCUCCUCCCGCAUACGUCCUGAGGGCGAACGUGGGGGAUCUUCGGACCUCCCGCUAUCCGAUGAUCCUAGGUCGGAUUAGCUAGUUGUGUGGGUAAAGGCCUACCAAGGCUACGAUCCGUAACUGGUCUGAGAGGAUGAUCAUUCACACUGGAACUGAGACACGGUCCAGACUCCUACGGGAGGCAGCAGUGGGGAAUAUUGGACAAUGGGCGAAAGCCUGAUCCAGCCAUGCCGCGUGUGUGAAGAAGGUCUUCGGAUUGUAAAGCACUUUAAGUUGGGAGGAAGGGCAGUAAGUUAAUACCUUGCUGUUUUGACGUGACCAACAGAAUAAGCACCGGCUAACUUCGUG